rnacentral:lncRNA from 1 species
GUGCACAGUACCUCAGAGGAGCCCUCAUUGUUCACAUCCACGGCAUUUCCUGGAGCGGCAGAUAAAUCGGAAUCUGAGCUCUGAGACCCAACUCUGCCCGGAGUCCGCUGCAGGAUCCGCCUGAACAUGGUGGCGGGGCCGGGUGCCGCCGGGCGGUCGCGGCCACGCCGAAAGGAAACCGCGGGGCCCCGCGCAGCGCCGCCCCCGCCCCGCAGGAGCCCGGCGCGGCCCGCUCGCCCCGUGACAGCCGCGGCGGUAGGGAGGCGGGGCAGCCGCCGGGGCGGGACCGCGCCGCGCCGGGCAGCACCCGCCCCUCCUCGGAGAGGGCCGGGCCGGGCCGAGGGACGGAGCCGCUGUCGGGGGCUGGAGCCGCGGCACCGCCGAGCUUUCUCUGCCGGCGGGGAGUGGGGGAAGGGAGCGCCGCUGGCGGGAGGCCCCGUCCCACAGAGCUCCCCGCCCCGCCCGCUGCCCGCCGUGCCGGUUACUGCGAGUGCGGAGUAGCGCCGUGGUUUGGAUAGUUAACUGGAAGCUAAACCUACUGGAAAUGAAAUUCAUUCCUUAUUGCUUCCAUAGAGCCAGGGGCGGGAGGGGCUACCUUGUGGCAGUGCCGCUUAGACUCGCAUUGAAAUGUCAGAAAAGAAUCUUGUGCUCCCACACACGUACCGUCAAACACAGAAUAGCCCCAAAACGAGCAGUUCUGUCCAGAAGGGGUUUGUGCUUAACCGGUGCUGAGGCAAAACGCCUAUGUGGCUUUUGGCUGGAACACCGUACGGCCUCCAGCAUGCAGAACUGAACACGCUGCCAUUUCCUGUCGGUUCUAAAGCUGCAGCUUUUACGUACUGAAUGCAAGGCGAAGGGUCAUGAUUAAAUAAUGGACCUGCUUGGUGACUUACUGCGCUGGACAUAGCAGACAUUAGAUGCCACUCGUGCUACAGUGAUUGAAAACAUUUCCACUCUGAAGCUGAUGUUUCUAAGCACUCUAAAAUCCAUGGAUUUGGCGUGAGUUAUGAGCACGUGACAAGAAGGAUUCAGAUGCAGCAGCCAAGACGUGAAGUACAGCAACAUGAAGUGUCCCAUCUGAGUUUCCCCAGCUCCUGGUCCUGGUGUUUCAUGAUGCUGUUCCUCUGUUAAGGCACGUAAGAGCACACACCAUGUAGGGUCAUGGCUUCAGCUGUUGAGGGGUGACGUCUUUGGUCACAUCCAUCAGAUCAUUUCCAUUUUUGUGUCCAUAGUAUGAAGCAGCUUUAAAAUACGCUGUACUAUGUGGCAGUGGUAAGGUCUGCAUUUGAAUUUUCUGCAUGGGAUUAACAAUGGGAAGAGGGUUGAUCUUGCUGUACUUUGCAAUAUGCUUUGUACUCUCCCAGGUUAGUAGUUCCUGCGUGCUUAGAGCAAUGUUGAGGAUCCUGGUGAGAAGUCUUACAUCACAGGAGGAUGUUCUUAAACAAAUCCUGUAAGGCAAUGCACAGUGCUGUAUUUCUGUGGAUGUUUCUGUGGAUUUAUGCACCUCUCUGUCCCCCAUCAUUCCCUCAGUGACUUCUGGAUCCAUUGGCCAAUUUCCAUCAAAUAUGACAGUGCUAAUCGAGGCUCAGGGGCACUGGGCUCCUACAGAUUUAAGUAGAUGACCAGGAAGAGAGAGAAACCUUUAGAAUUCCCCCGUAAAGGAAAGACUGCAGCAUGAUCACCUUUGCUAAACACCAAGAAUGCACAUUAGAAUUUACCCUUGGGGCAGACAUGUAGGAAAAAAAGAUUUCAUCAGUCCCAUUUCAGGUGGAAUUCCUUGCUUUUAAUUAUUAUGUGUAUGUUAAUGCCUGUGAGUUCAUAGGUGCAGCGCAAAUACUGAAAUCACAUGCCGUUUAAAUAUGGUUUAUGCCCUCAGGCAUGGGAGUUGCAAAUUUGCAUUUCAUCCAACCUCGUAAACUUUGUGAGGGCUUUGGCGCCUUUGUAUGGAGCCUAUUGCUGACAGUCUUGGACUAAAAUCAUGGCAGAGACUUUCUUGGGCAUUCCAGCUGGAAAGCGGGUGCAUCAUCCUCUGAACAUAAGUCACUGGCUCAGUCUGAACUACAGCAGCCUCUCACAUACGAUUAGCUGCAGAAAUCAGCAGGCCUGCAUUUCAGUAGACAACCAAAGUCAAUCCUCGGACUGAAUAAGCAAUAUUCAGAAUGGCCCAGCAUGCAGCAGCACCUCCCAAGCCUUCCAACAGAUCAUUGCCUUUUUUUUUCUCAUGGCUAUGCACAUAAAAGCCCAUAAAAGCCGUGAUUCCUGGUCCACAGCUCACAGAAAGCCAUGCCCAUGUGAGCUUCUGCCAUCACUGAGGGCUGUAAGGAGUCACCAUCACGUCAAACACAAUGACUGAGAAAAUAAUGUGUGGUAUGUCAAUAUCGCAUGUAUGUAGACUUGUAGCCUGUAAAUUUCCAAAUGUUCUGGGCUGCUGUCCUGCAUGUUAUCAGCUUUUGUAUGGAUAAUUGUUUUCAACAGGCUGCCCAGGGAAGCUCUGGGUGCCCCAUCCCUGGAGGUGUUCAAGGUGAGGUUGGAUGGAUCCUGGGCAGCCUGAUCCAGUGCUCAGCAGCCCUGCCCAUGGCAGAGAGGUCGGAACUGGAUGAUCUUUAAGGCCCCUUCCAACCCAACCCACUCUGUGAUCUCUGGGAUUCUGUGUUAAGUUCCUGACCUCAAAAUCUUUUCGUCUCAAGCUCCUUGGGUGCAUGCUGUGCUGCACUGCAAAAGUGUCCCACUGUUUUCAAGAUGUUACUUUUAGGUUUCUUAUUUAAAAAGGGCAUUAGAAAGUCUCUGUGUUUUGUUUUUUGUUUUUCUUCCUAGCUCUUUAACUGUACAUUUAUGACUGUCACUUUAUGUUCUUCAUUUAUUUUUGGCAAAUGUCUUUCAAAUUUACCCACAUCUUUUUCUGAGGCUCUCCUGGGUUGAACUCUAUGAAUUGAACACGCAGAACAGAUGGUUUAAAGGAUUUGUAUGUUGAAAACCAUAAUGGCUAGUAGGUAAAAGUAAUAUGUCAAGAAUCCACAUCAAAAACCGUGGAACAGGCAAAUAAUAAGAUUAAAGAUUAGGAGUAUUAAAAACUUGCCAACCAUCUAUCUUCAAGAUUAAGUAAGUAAGUGCAGAACCGUAAUUCAAAGAUAAGUGAUACAUUAUAGGUUAUAACAUUGGUGAAACCACAAGAAAGCAUGCAUCAGGAAUUUGCAUGUAUUCCAUAAAAAAAUGGGGGGUUGUGUGUUCCUAAAUCAAAUCAUCAUUUCGUCAAAACACCUACUGAGAACUGUCAUUUAAGAAAGUCAUGGAUGGACUAAUGGAGAUUUAGGAAGGAAAAACUACCUUGAAAAAGAACUUUUCAGCUACUGAUAGUCUAGCCUUUCACUACAAAUAUUCACAAACAAAAUAUGCAGAGUGCUGUUUGAAUUCAUGUUUUCUUCAUUUUGCUGAGAAACUACACUUAAAACUCAUAAUUCUUGCAGGUGGCACCAACUGUAGAAUCAUAGAAUCGUAGAAUUGUAGAAUCGUAGAAUGGCCUGUGUUGAAAAGGACCGCAAUGAUCAUCGACUUUCAACCCCCUGCUAUGUGCGGGGUCACCAACCACCAGACCAGGCUGCCCAGAGCCACAUCCAGCCUGGCCUUGAAUGCCUCCAGGGAUGGGGCAUCCACAACCUCCUUGGGCAACCUGUUCCAGUGUGUCACCACCCUCUGUGUGAAAAAGUCACCAAUGACCUUGAAGAAGCCAAUGGCAGAAAACAGCUAAGAGGUGAAAAGUGGUGAUAUGGAGAAAUGUGUUAGACAGCUGGGAUAAGACAUCAGUAAGACUCACAGUACAUCAAGAAGUAAUUUUAACAGUGACACAUAAAGGUGAAAAGUCACUGCACAUGAGACAUUUGCACUGUCUUCAGACCAGAUCUGCACAGGAGCUCCUGUACAUCUUCUUGGCUUGCAAAUCUUUCCAGUAGUGUAAAUGUGGAUCUCUUACCUCUACCUAGUCAUCAUUUUUGUCACAAAACCAAAAAAAAAAUGUAAUUAACUUUGAGACAUGUCUACCUCCUUUAGGUUUAGACUUGAACUGCCCCGUGGGUUCCAAAGGUACAUAGUGGGCAGUUGAAAGUCACAGGAUGUCACCUCUGCCUCAUCAAGGAGCUAGGCCAAACCUCUGGGGUGGUUAUAGUCUGUGUUUGAGCUGUUCAUUGACCUUUCCUGACCCAUUCCUUUCUCACACAUAUGAAAAAUAACAGCUCUUCAAUUCUUAACUUCAGGUACUGAAGAAGUUGGCAGCGCAUCAGUACUUCAGCCUGCUUGUGCCAGGCUGAGUGCAUUCCCUCAGCUGCUUUAGAGCCACACUGAAUCUACGGUGAUGCCUGUAACAAAGAGCUGACAGCUACAGGCCACGUCCUGUGCAAAAGAGAGCCUCCUUCAAGACUGUGCAAUCGCUCGAAUGAGUAACAAGUGGGUGUGCUAAUUAAGAUUGCACUGCUAGCUCUAAUACCAAAUUCGAGAGCUCAAAUUCAUGACUUGUACCUGGUGUGAGAGAACUUGAAUCUUGUUAGAUUUGCACAGCUCUCCCCAGUUAACCCAAGUCAUAAAUAAUAUAAUAAUUUCUAUACAAAACAAAAAAAAUGCAGCAGCGGUUGGUUUCGUUUCCCAUUCCCCAAGACAGUGAGGAGUAUGCCACGUAGCUUUCUUGGCUUAAGUGAGAAAUAUGUAUGAGUUCAUGUAAAAAAUAAGCCUGAUAUUAAUAUAACCAGAAUCUGAGAUGGAGAAGAUCUGCUGCUGAGUCAUGCAGAGUGCCCUGCCAAAUGCCUCAGCUAAGAAAUUAUUCUGCAUCAAGUUGAAAGCGUGUCACAAAACAAAGACUUUCAAAUCCCACCCCACAGAGCUGCAGUGAUACCACCAGUCACGUCACUUCAAGGAGAUGCUGCCGCGUUUCCUGGGCACUUUCAAGUGGCACCAAAAAUGGGUAAAUAGGAAAAAGAAGGAACGUAUUCUUUGAGGUUACUUAUCUGCUCACUUUGGUUAUGUGCUUUUAUAUAUUCAUAUAUAAUUUCUCUUUCUUUGGGUCUCAGACAAAAACUUCUUCUCUCCAUUAUUCUAGACAUGUCUGAGGCCAUUUCAAAGAUUUUUCAGCAAAUUACUUCAAGUUACAAAUGAAGUAAUCAGGGCAGCCCUCAGUCACAUAGAUUAUAGGGGAUGUCACUACUACUGAUCAUUUAAAUAAAUCCUAUUCAGCCUCUUCUCGUUACAGCUGAAACAAAAGAUGGAUUUUCAAUAUGAUGUAUAAAGAUUGCGAUAAUACUUAUGUGCAUUGCUGUGAUCACUUUUCUGAGUAAUUGCAAAAAAAGAAUGAGCUGAAUGAGCUGGUUGAUUUCAAUCAUAAAGCUAAACAAAUAUAAUAGCAAGAUAUUUCUAGCUAUAUGAAGGCUCAUAGAGCACUGAUUCAAACACACCUCACUCUCUCCGCAAAUUAAUGCACUAUUUGUUCACGGCUUUGUAUGUAAGCAGAUGCAAUAAGUGUUGGCUUUGUUAGGAGUCAGAGUUCAUGCAUUGCAUCAGCAAUUCAGUUAAAUAUUUUGAAAUGGUCAGAGUAGAGGCUGCUAAAUAAAGAGGGCAAAAUUUAACUCCAAAGGGAGAUUACCAGGCUUUCUUGAAACAGUAAACAAAUACUCCCGCAGGCUUAAUGUAAUCACACAGUGCUUAAUGGCAUCUCUUCUUACAAAUUCAACCUCUCUGUGCCUUCCAAGUUUGUAUUUUGAUGUGAGAAAUUUGCUGCAUCUAAGAUCCAAAAUGCUGUUUAAGCUCUACAGUGUUAUGCAGCUAAAAGCCCUGCUGACCAAGCCUUGAUUUUCCUGAACUACAAGCCAAACCCGUCUGUGUGGCAACUGCAGUAACGAUGUAGAUGUGAAGAAUGAUGGGAAUAAGCAAAGGAGGAUUAAAGAUCUCUCUCAGUUAAAUACUUUUUAAAAGUUAAAAUAUUUACUGUAAAAGAAUAAUGAAAUGGACCUUUCAUUCUUAAUCUGCUUUUCCUGGUGCAGAGCCAAUGAGAUUCAUGAUUUCAUAGAACUUUACAUAAAGUUUGCAAACAAAGAAAAAACUGAUUUACAAAUGAAGAUAAAGUGUUUACCAAAGCCUAGGACAAGCUGGGAAUCAAUGAAGGUAAAAGUAAAUGCAUUUCCUGCGGGAUGACAAAAUGCUCCAUCAUUCCCAAGGAUCAAUCCUUCAACAGCUGAGGCUUCCCUUUCACUAAUGUCAGCUGUAGGCACUACUGAGUCAGCUGCCAAUACAAUUUCAAUCUGGAUCAAAUAUGUGUGCCAUUGUACUUCUGUUUCUUCUGAACUAACACGAGUGUGGGAUAUGAUGUUAAAGCAGUUCAUUCUUUCCAUUGGCUACAGAUUGAUUGUGGGCCAAAAAAAUAUGAUGUCCAUAAUAAAGCUGGACAGGAAAAAAAGUUACAGGUUUAAAAUAAUGUUAAAACAAUUUUAGUAGGUGUGAUGAAUUUGCGCCAGACUUGUAUUAAUUAAUAUUCAUGCUGUUGGUUUUUCUGAUCUUCUAUAAAGUACCAUGGUGUCACUCACAGGUGACAGGGUAAGGGGAAAUGGCCUCAAGUUGCACCAGGGGAGGUUUAGGUUGGAUAUCAGGAAAAACUUCUUUACAGGAAGGGUUGUUAAGCACUGGAGUAGGCUCCCCAGGGAGGUGGUUGAGUCACCAUCCCUGGAUGUGUUUAAAAAUCAUUUGGAUGUGGUGCUCAGGGACAUGAUUUAGCGGAGGGUUGUUAGAGUUAGGGUAGUUUGGUUAGAAUCAUAGAAUCAUAGAAUCGCUAAUGUUGGAAAAGACCCACAGGAUCACCCAGUCCAACCAUUUGUUCGCCCUUCACCAAUGGUUCUUGCUAAACCAUGUCCCUCAACACAACAUCCAAACGCUCUUUGAACACCUUCAGGAUCGGUGACUCCACCACCUCUCUGGGCAGCCCAUUCCAGUGCCUGACCACACUGUCAGAGAUGUAGUAUUUCCUAACAUCCAGACUGAACCGUCCCUGGCUCAGCUUGAAGCCAUUCCCUCUAUAGUCCUAUCACUAGUCACACGAGAGAAGAGGCUGACCCCCAGCUCACUACAACCUCUCAGGUAGUUAUAGAGAGCAAUGAGGUCUCCCCUGAGCCUCCUCUUCUCCAGACUGAACAAUCCCAGCUCCUUCAGCUGCUCUUCAUAAGGCCUGUGCUCCAGACCCCUCACCAGCUUUGUUGCCCUCCUCUGGACAUGCUCCAGGGCCUCAAUGUCUUUCUUACAGUGAGGGACCCAAAACUGGACACAGUACUCAAGGUGCGGCCUCACCAGGGCUGAGUACAGAGGGACAAUUACUUCCCUGUUUCUGCUGGCCACACUAUUUCUGAUACAAGCCAGGAUGCCAUUGGCCUUCUUGGCCACCUGGGCACACUGCUGGCUCAUGUUCAGUCUAGCGUCAAUCAACACCUCCAGGUCCAUUUCCUCCACACAGUCUUCCAG